rnacentral:rRNA from 3 species
GAGCGGCGAACGGGUGAGUAACACGUGAGUAACCUGCCCCUGACUCUGGGAUAAGCCCGGGAAACUGGGUCUAAUACCGGAUACGACACCUCCUGGCAUCGGGUGGGUGUGGAAAGUUUUUCGGUUGGGGAUGGACUCGCGGCCUAUCAGCUUGNUGGUGGGGUAAUGGCCUACCAAGGCGACGACGGGUAGCCGGCCUGAGAGGGCGACCGGCCACACUGGGACUGAGACACGGCCCAGACUCCUACGGGAGGCAGCAGUGGGGAAUAUUGCGCAAUGGGCGAAAGCCUGACGCAGCGACGCCGCGUGGGGGAUGACGGCCUUCGGGUUGUAAACCUCUUUCAGCAGGGACGAAGUUGACGUGUACCUGCAGAAGAAGCGCCGGCUAACUACGUGCCAGCAGCCGCGGUAAUACGUAGGGCGCAAGCGUUGUCCGGAAUUAUUGGGCGUAAAGAGCUCGUAGGUGGCUUGUCACGUCGGGUGUGAAAGCUUGGGGCUUAACUCCAGGUCUGCAUUCGAUACGGGCUGGCUAGAGGUAGGUAGGGGAGAACGGAAUUCCU